rnacentral:rRNA from 1 species
UACGUAGGGUGCAAGCGUUGUCCGGAAUUAUUGGGCGUAAAGAGCUCGUAGGCGGUUUGUCGCGUCGACUGUGAAAACCCGAGGCUUAACCUCGGGCCUGCAGUCGAUACGGGCAGACUAGAGUUCGGUAGGGGAGACUGGAAUUCCUGGUGUAGCGGUGAAAUGCGCAGAUAUCAGGAGGAACACCAACGGCGAAGGCAGCUCUCUGGGACGUUACUGACGCUGAGACGCGAAAGCGUGGGGAGCAAACAGG